rnacentral:rRNA from 1 species
UACGGGGGGGGCAAGCGUUGUUCGGAAUUACUGGGCGUAAAGGGCGCGUAGGCGGUUUGCUAAGUUGGAUGUGAAAACUCUGGGCUUAACCCAGAGCCUGCAUCCAAAACUGGCAAACUUGAGUACUGGAGGGGAAAGCGGAAUUCCUGGUGUAGCGGUGGAAUGCGCAGAUAUCAGGAGGAACACCGGUGGCGAAGGCGGGUCUCUGGACAGUUCCUGACGCUGAGGCACGAAGGUCAGGGGAGCAAACGGG